rnacentral:rRNA from 1 species
ACGCGUAGGUAACCUGCCUGGUAGCGGGGGAUAACUAUUGGAAACGAUAGCUAAUACCGCAUAAGAGUGGAUGUUGCAUGACAUUUGCUUAAAAGGUGCACUUGCAUCACUACCAGAUGGACCUGCGUUGUAUUAGCUAGUUGGUGGGGUAAGGGCUCACCAAGGCGACGAUACAUAGCCGACCUGAGAGGGUGAUCGGCCACACUGGGACUGAGACACGGCCCAGACUCCUACGGGAGGCAGCAGUAGGGAAUCUUCGGCAAUGGACGGAAGUCUGACCGAGCAACGCCGCGUGAGUGAAGAAGGUUUUCGGAUCGUAAAGCUCUGUUGUAAGAGAAGAACGAGUGUGAGAGUGGAAAGUUCACACUGUGACGGUAUCUUACCAGAAAGGGACGGCUAACUACGUGCCAGCAGCCGCGGUAAUACGUAGGUCCCGAGCGUUGUCCGGAUUUAUUGGGCGUAAAGCGAGCGCAGGCGGUUAGAUAAGUCUGAAGUUAAAGGCUGUGGCUUAACCAUAGUAGGCUUUGGAAACUGUUUAACUUGAGUGCAAGAGGGGAGAGUGGAAUUCCAUGUGUAGCGGUGAAAUGCGUAGAUAUAUGGAGGAACACCGGUGGCGAAAGCGGCUCUCUGGCUUGUAAC